rnacentral:rRNA from 1 species
CACGUAGGGGCCAAGCGUUGUCCGGAUUCAUUGGGCGUAAAGAGCUCGUAGGCGGUUCAGUUAGUCGGGUGUGAAAUCUCCGGGCUUACCACCGGAGGGGGCCACCCGAUACUGCUGUGACUCGAGUCCGGUAGGGGAGUGGGGAAUUCCUGGUGUAGCGGUGAAAUGCGCAGAUAUCAGGAGGAACACCGGUGGCGAAGGCGCCACUCUGGGCCGGUACUGACGCUGAGGAGUGAAAGCGUGGGUAGCAAACAGG